AGAGUGAAGAGGACAGACAGCGCCCCACAGUACCCUGUGGCGGGCUACCCUUGCGGCACCCCCGCGGGGUUUAGAGUCGUCGAACCUCUCGGAGAAGUUCGGUCCCAAACUCCACCCUUGAAUAAAUUACCUUUGUUGCUUUGGCAGGCCGCCUCGUGCCAGCGGCUUCGGCUGUUGAGUGCCUGCCAGAGGACCACAACUCUUGCUUUCAGUGAUGUCUGAGUACUAUAUAAUAGUUAAAACUUUCAAUAACGGAUCUCUUGGUUCU
rnacentral:misc_RNA from 1 species